CUCUACCGUUGUGGCACCAUUUUAAUUAUUUUUUUUAAACGUUAGAUUUGCAGCGUUCAUCAGAUUCUGAGUACAAACUGAUCUACAUUGAUCAAUAACCAGUUACAACCUACAAGCUUUAAAUGAAUGAAUAAGAUUCCUUCCAAAAAAAAUGGUUAUUACAUGGUAGAAAAGCGAGUUUAAAAAGAUUAUCCUCGGGAGAAGCCAACUAAUUCCUGGAGCUCUUGUUAAUGAAGAUUGAUGCAAUUUAAUCAAAUAGAUGAAGUACUUUUGAAGUACCUCCAUCUUCAGAAUAUAACUAAUUGCUAAAUGUAUGCAUCCUUAAAAUGCUUAAUAAUUUAUGGGAGCAGAUGUUUUUCAAUGAAUUGAUAUAUUUAGUUACUAUACAGCAUAAUGAACGUACAAUAUGACCUGAACGAGAUCAUUGCAUUGUUUUCUGCAAUACAGAAUCGGUUUUAUUGCUGGUAUGAGAUUUUACUGGCAAGCCAAUUGUGUGGUUUCAGUAUCUCUGAAUAUUACAGAGUUCCAGUUCAUUUGCACUGUCGUCAAGAAUGAAAUUUAAGUGAACUUUGAAAUUAUGGUCUUUAUUAGAGAUGGCCAAUGUGAGGCUUGAAAAAUGGAUAUGGCUCGUUUAUGGUUCAAGUGUGCCUCUAACAAGUUGAUGGCAAACGCAUUCUUUGGUACUCUUAAUAAUAUCAUACAAAUUGUGGCAGGACAAUGAUAUUCUGCACAUAUUGGUUCUGGCAAAAGUGCCUUGGGAAGGAGGGAUGUUGGGGAUAUUGAUGUCCAAUACAUAUUGGUUUCUAACCACUAAACUGGCCAUAAGGUAUGGACUGGGCUGAGGUUUCAGAAGGCCACGGUCAGAUUAUAUUCAGUAUUGGUGAAAAUUCCUGGUGAGCUUCCGACCUCUCAGCAGAAUAUAUUUGUCAAAUAUAUCACAGCUUCAUUGUUCAGAUGAUUUAACUGUUAAUUGGGCUGUUGAUUCCAUUGGUGACAAUGACAUAAUCUAGACUGCAAGAAAAACUAGUAUGAG